AGAAAAGGCAGAAAACUGAGGCUGAUUUUGGAGGCAAAAAGUGUAGCCGUUUGAUAUACAUAUAAAAAAAAAAAAAAAAAAAAAAAAAAAAAAACGGAAAAGAAGAGAGGAGGAGACGGAGAACUCGCAGAGGAAGAGGCGGAAGUAAUUGGAGUCCAACAUUGGCAGCUUUGGUGAGACAAAAAGACAGUACUUGUAGCUGCUGGGGAAGAAACAAAAGGAAGCUUCUGGGAGAAACUAUUGGCUAGGAAUAAGCUGCAAGUCGGCUGAAAGAGAAUAUACACACCCACAAAAAAAGGCAGCAAGAGGCAAGAAGAAAAGGCAGAAAACUGAGGCUGAUUUUGGAGGCAAAAAGUGUAGCCGUUUGAUAUACAUAUAAAAAAAAAAAAAAAAAAAAAGGGAGGUCAGAAUUGGGCACCAAGAAUAUAUUAUACACGCACAGAAUCUGGCGAAUUAGGAAAUGGAACGAGCUGCUUGCUGGAACAAAAACAAAAGAAUUCAAAACCAUUGGAGCAGAGAAUUGAAGUUAGAAGAUAACGAGCUGUCUGCUGGAAUCUGCCUAUUUAUUAUACACUAAUACACACCUUGAGAAAUAC
rnacentral:lncRNA from 1 species